GAUGAACGCUGGCGGCGUGCCUAAUACAUGCAAGUCGAGCGAACGGACGAGAAGCUUGCUUCUCUGAUGUUAGCGGCGGACGGGUGAGUAACACGUGGAUAACCUACCUAUAAGACUGGGGUAACUUCGGGAAACCGGAGCUAAUACCGGAUAAUAUUUUGAACCGCAUGGUUCAAAAGUGAAAGACGGUCUUGCUGUCACUUAUAGAUGGAUCCGCGCUGCAUUAGCUAGUUGGUAAGGUAACGGCUUACCAAGGCAACGAUGCAUAGCCGACCUGAGAGGGUGAUCGGCCACACUGGAACUGAGACACGGUCCAGACUCCUACGGGAGGCAGCAGUAGGGAAUCUUCCGCAAUGGGCGAAAGCCUGACGGAGCAACGCCGCGUGAGUGAUGAAGGUCUUCGGAUCGUAAAACUCUGUUAUUAGGGAAGAACAUAUGUGUAAGUAACUGUGCACAUCUUGACGGUACCUAAUCAGAAAGCCACGGCUAACUACGUGCCAGCAGCCGCGGUAAUACGUAGGUGGCAAGCGUUAUCCGGAAUUAUUGGGCGUAAAGCGCGCGUAGGCGGUUUUUUAAGUCUGAUGUGAAAGCCCACGGCUCAACCGUGGAGGGUCAUUGGAAACUGGAAAACUUGAGUGCAGAAGAGGAAAGUGGAAUUCCAUGUGUAGCGGUGAAAUGCGCAGAGAUAUGGAGGAACACCAGUGGCGAAGGCGACUUUCUGGUCUGUAACUGACGCUGAUGUGCGAAAGCGUGGGGAUCAAACAGGAUUAGAUACCCUGGUAGUCCACGCCGUAAACGAUGAGUGCUAAGUGUUAGGGGGUUUCCGCCCCUUAGUGCUGCAGCUAACGCAUUAAGCACUCCGCCUGGGGAGUACGACCGCAAGGUUGAAACUCAAAGGAAUUGACGGGGACCCGCACAAGCGGUGGAGCAUGUGGUUUAAUUCGAAGCAACGCGAAGAACCUUACCAAAUCUUGACAUCCUUUGACAACUCUAGAGAUAGAGCCUUCCCCUUCGGGGGACAAAGUGACAGGUGGUGCAUGGUUGUCGUCAGCUCGUGUCGUGAGAUGUUGGGUUAAGUCCCGCAACGAGCGCAACCCUUAAGCUUAGUUGCCAUCAUUAAGUUGGGCACUCUAAGUUGACUGCCGGUGACAAACCGGAGGAAGGUGGGGAUGACGUCAAAUCAUCAUGCCCCUUAUGAUUUGGGCUACACACGUGCUACAAUGGACAAUACAAAGGGCAGCGAAACCGCGAGGUCAAGCAAAUCCCAUAAAGUUGUUCUCAGUUCGGAUUGUAGUCUGCAACUCGACUACAUGAAGCUGGAAUCGCUAGUAAUCGUAGAUCAGCAUGCUACGGUGAAUACGUUCCCGGGUCU
rnacentral:rRNA from 1 species